CAAAGGUUUGGUCCUGGCCUUCCUAUUAGUUAUUAACAGAAUUACACAUGCAAGCCUCCACAUCCCGGUGAAGAUGCCCUCUAAAUCUAUUUAAACGAUUAAAAGGAGCGGGCAUCAGGCACACUAAAUAAGUAGCCCAUAACGCCUUGCUCAACCACACCCCCACGGGAUACAGCAGUGAUAAAAAUUAAGCCAUGAACGAAAGUUUGACUAAGCCAUGUUAAUAUUAAGAGUUGGUAAAUUUCGUGCCAGCCACCGCGGUCAUACGAUUAACCCAAAUUAAUAGGCUCACGGCGUAAAACGUGCUAAGGACUACAAAACACUAAAGUUAAAAUUUAACCAGGCCGUAAAAAGCUACUGUUAAUAUAAAAUAUACCACGAAAGUGACUUUAUCAUCUCCAACAACACGAUAGCUGGGACCCAAACUGGGAUUAGAUACCCCACUAUGCCCAGCCCUAAACACAAACAAUUUACACAACAAAAU
rnacentral:rRNA from 1 species